AGGGGGCAAGCGUUAUCCGGAUUUACUGGGUGUAAAGGGAGCGUAGACGGCUGUGCAAGUCUGAAGUGAAAUGCCGGGGCCCAACCCCGGAACUGCUUUGGAAACUGUACAGCUAGAGUGCAGGAGGGGUGAGCGGAAUUCCUAGUGUAGCGGUGAAAUGCGUAGAUAUUAGGAGGAACACCGGUGGCGAAGGCGGCUCACUGGACUGUAACUGACGUUGAGGCUCGAAAGCGUGGGGAGCAAACAGGAUUAGAUACCCUGGUAGUCCACGCCGUAAACGAUGAUUACUAGGUGUCGGAGGGCCAAGGCCCUUCGGUGCCGGCGCAAACGCAUUAAGUAAUCCACCUGGGGAGUACGUUCGCAAGAAUG
rnacentral:rRNA from 2 species